UACGGAGGGGGCUAGCGUUGUUCGGAAUUACUGGCGUAAAGCGCACGUAGGCGGCUUUGUAAGUUAGAGGUGAAAGCCCGGAGCUCAACUCCGGAAUUGCCUUUAAGACUGCAUCGCUAGAACGUCGGAGAGGUGAGUGGAAUUCCGAGUGUAGAGGUGAAAAUUCGUAGAUAUUCGGAAGAACACCAGUGGCGAAGGCGACUCACUGGACGACUGUUGACGCUGAGG
rnacentral:rRNA from 1 species